rnacentral:snRNA from 1 species
AAGUGUUACAGCUCUUUUACUAUUUGUCCAGCGGGUUCUUACUGUGUAGGAGCCGCC